rnacentral:rRNA from 1 species
CAACAAAACGUCACUCAAAACCAUUGUGAACCGACCCUUCUGUUGCUUCGGCGGGAGGCGCCUCGGCGCCCCUCGGCCGAUCCCCCGCCCCCGCGGCGUGGGGGGAGGCUCCCGCCGGAGGAAUACCCCAAACCCUUUGCAGCACAUGGCCUCUCUGAGUUUAUGUACUGAAUAAGUCAAAACUUUCAACAACGGAUCUCUUGGUUCUGGCAUCGAUGAAGAACGCACGAAAUGCGAUAAGUAAUGUGAAUUGCAGAAUUCAGUGAAUCAUCGAAUCUUUGAACGCACAUUGCGCCCGCCGGUAUUCCGGCGGGCAUGCCUGUUCGAGCGUCAUUUCAACCAUCAAGCCCUGGGCUUGUGUUGGGGACCUGCGGCUGCCGCAGGCCCUGAAAUGCAGUGGCGGGCUCGCAAGACACACCGAGCGUAGUAGCUUACAACCUCGCUUUGGGAGUGCUGCGGGUGCUGGCCGUAAAGCGACCUUUGCGUCUUUAGCACUAGGUUGACCUCGGAUCAGGUAGGAGGACCCGCUGAACUUAAGCAUAUCAAUAAAGCGGAGGAAAUUUGGGUACUCCUCCAAUUCCUUGGAAUCCCGAAGGUCAACCUAGUUGCUAAAGACGCAAAGGUCGCUUUACGGCCAGCACCCGCAGCACUCCCAAAGCGAGGUUGUAAGCUACUACGCUCGGUGUGUCUUGCGAGCCCGCCACUGCAUUUCAGGGCCUGCGGCAGCCGCAGGUCCCCAACACAAGCCCAGGGCUUGAUGGUUGAAAUGACGCUCGAACAGGCAUGCCCGCCGGAAUACCGGCGGGCGCAAUGUGCGUUCAAAGAUUCGAUGAUUCACUGAAUUCUGCAAUUCACAUUACUUAUCGCAUUUCGCUGCGUUCUUCAUCGAUGCCAGAACCAAGAGAUCCGUUGUUGAAAGUUUUGACUUAUUCAGUACAUAAACUCAGAGAGGCCAUGUGCUGCAAAGGGUUUGGGGUAUUCCUCCGGCGGGAGCCUCCCCCCACGCCGCGGGGGCGGGGGAUCGGCCGAGGGGCGCCGAGGCGCCUCCCGCCGAAGCAACAGAAGGGUCGGUUCACAAUGGUUUGGUGAGUUGUGUAACUCUGUAAUGAUCCCUCCGCUGGUUCACCAACGGAGACCUUGUUACGACUUUUACUUCCAAAAGGUUGU